rnacentral:lncRNA from 1 species
GUUUUUAUUGACUUUAUAAAAGCUUUGCAAAAUCAGGGUUUGUUUUGGGUGACUUUGAAUUUGUGAAAUAAAAAAGAUGAUACUUUUUGGAGGAAUUCGUAAGUUUGGUAAUAGAUCCAUAAGUGAAAUUUUAGAGGUUUGUGGGUUUAUAUGUGUUCAAUAUAUGAUAUGAGUUUGAGCUUGAUCAAAGAGUUGAAUCGAGGAUUAUUGAGGUUUAAAUGGGUCGGAA